rnacentral:lncRNA from 1 species
AUGAAGCAAGGUAGGAAAGCAAGAGAAGAUAAUGGAGCUGGGGGUGAAGGUAACCAUGAAAAUCAUUUUUGGUUAAUAAGUGAGUUAAUGGGUAGAGAAUUUCAACCAAGGAUGAUGAAAAAGUGGAGCUGGAUAGUGACAGCAGUUGCACAAUAAUGUAAAUGUACCUAAAGUGAAUGAACUGUCCACUUACAUGGUAAAUCUUAUGUGUGUUUAAUUAAUUUAAAAAUGAAUUAACAUUUAAACAUUUGUGGCAGGUACAGAUGUUAUUUGCACAGGGUUUUGGACUAUUUGCAGAGUACUCUUUUCUGUGGAAGAAAGUAGCUUUAGAAACCAAAUCUCAAGUUAUUGAGACUAAAGAAGGAGGGUAUCCCCUCUUAUCGUGAGUAGGCGUAACAGUCACCUAUAGACACAAAUCCUGGAGUGGGACAAAGUAGUAUUUGUUUCCCUGUUCCUUGUUAUUCUAGGUCUUUAGCAUAGCAUUUAAGACAAGAUGGGCGCUCAGUAAACACUUGCUGACUAAAUACCUAAGACAACCCAGGAGUUCCCAUUGUGGCUCUGAGGGUUAAGACGCUGACAGUAUCCAUGAGGAUGUGGAUUUGAUCCUUGGCCUCACUGAGUAGGUUAAGGAUCCAGUGUUGCCGUGAGCUGUGGUGUAGGUUGCAGGUGCGGCUCAGAUCUGGCGUUGCUGUGGCUGUGGUGCAGGCCAGAGCUGCAGCUCUGAUUCAACCCCUAGCCUGGGAACUUCCAUAUGCCUGGGGUGCAGGCCCUAAAAAAAAAAAAAGGCAAGAGUAGAAUCAUAGGAACCAAGGAAAAAACUAGUUUUGAGAUGAGUAAAGAUCAGCAAUGCCUUAUAUGUUCUGAUCUCUGUGGGUAAGGGAAAAAUCAGAUUAAAGGGAGGGAGAGAACUAGAGGAAAUUAGUAUAUAUAUAUUUUUAAUUCAGAUAAUACCAAGUAGAAGUGUGUAGCACUCCCCUUUCUUUAUUCUUUCUUUGGGAACGCUGUCAUUCGUCUUUUUUUUUUUUGCUUUUUAGGGCUGCACCUAUGGCAUAUGGAGGUUCCCAGGCUAGGGGUCUAAUUGGAGCUGCAGCUGCCGGCCACAGCCACAGCCACAGCAGUGCAGUAUCUGAGCUGCAUCUGUGACCUACACGACAGCUUACAGCAACACCAGAUCCUUAACCCGCUGAACAAGGCCAGGGGUGGAACCUGCGUCCUCACGGUUCCUAGUCGGGUUCAUUUCUCCUGCACCAUGAUGGGAAAUCCUUUUGUGCAUCUUUUCAUAAGGUUCCUCUGUUCCCCACAUUGCCUACAGAAAGUAACCGUGAAGUAUAAUUAGAGGAGAGUAGGGUAGAUGAUCGGAUUCCAAAUGGAGGUCUGUGGUCUUUGCUGAGGAGAUAGCAAGGUCAUUUGUCAAGCGCAGAGGCAAAAGGUCUUGAGUUUGAGAGCAGUAGAUUUGUGGGAUGUACUGUAGAUGGAGGACGAUUGAAUAAAGGGAAUGGUACUUAGCUACA